UGUAGAGUGCCUGUGAGGCUGAAGUGAAACAGUGUAACAUGCCUUCCACCUGAGAACCACCUAACCACUGGCGUUGCAUAUGCCAAUAGUUCAUUUCUUCCUAUUGGUCUGGAAACACUGCAGUACUUUGUGAGUGGGAGCAGGGCUCCUCAUCGUUGUUCUGGAGGCUCGUUCCUUGGAGCUGGCUUUGAGAUCUGCAACAGUAUGUUCGGCAGGACAUGCAUUCAGAUGUUCUGUAAUAUAUAAAGCUUGUUUUAAAAUAAUUAAUCUUAUUGGUGGG
rnacentral:lncRNA from 1 species